GUGGGGAAUUGUUCGCAAUGGGCGCAAGCCUGACGACGCAACGCCGCGUGGGGGAUGAAGGUCUUCGGAUUGUAAACCCCUGUCGAGCGGGACGAACGGCCUGAGAGGUAACUCUCUUGGGAGUGACGGUACCGCUAAAGGAAGCCACGGCUAACUCUGUGCCAGCAGCCGCGGUAAUACAGAGGUGGCAAGCGUUGUUCGGAAUUACUGGGCGUAAAGGGCGCGUAGGCGGCUCUUUUAGUCAGACGUGAAAUCCCCCGGCUUAACCUGGGAACUGCGUCUGAUACUGGAGAGCUUGAGUGCGGGAGAGGGAUGUGGAAUUCCAGGUGUAGCGGUGAAAUGCGUAGAUAUCUGGAGGAACACCGGUGGCGAAGGCGGCAUCCUGGACCGACACUGACGCUGAGGCGCGAAAGCUAGGGGAGCAAACGGGAUUAGAAACCCCGGUAGUCC
rnacentral:rRNA from 1 species